rnacentral:rRNA from 1 species
CCUACGGGAGGCUGCAGUAGGGAAUCUUCCACAAUGGGCGAAAGCCUGAUGGAGCAACGCCGCGUGGGUGAAGAAGGUCUUCGGAUCGUAAACCCCUGUUGUUCGAGAAGAAAGUUCGUGCGAGUAACUGUUCCCGUUUCGACGGUAUCUAACCAGACAGCCACGGCUAACUACGUGCCAGCAGCCGCGGUAAUACGUCGGUGGCAAGCGUUAUCCGGAUUUAUUGGGCGUAAAGGGAACGCAGGCGGUCUUUUAAGUCUGAUGUGAAAGCCUUCGGCUUAACCGGAGUAGUGCAUUGGAAACUGGGAGACUGGAGUGGAGAAGAGGAGAGUGGAACUCCAGGUGUAGCGGUGAAAUGCGUAGAUAUAGGGAAGAACACCAGUGGCGAAAGCGGCUCGCUGGGCAGUAACUGACGCUGAGGUUCGAAAGCGUGGGUAGCAAACAGGAUUAGAUACCCGAGUAGUC